rnacentral:rRNA from 1 species
GGCUGAAACUACGCCUACAUGAAGCUGGAGUUGCUGUAAUCGCGAAUCAGCAUGUCGCGGUGAAUACGUUCCCGGGCCUUGUACACACCGCCCGUCACACCAUGAGAGUUGGCAAUACCCAACGUACGUGAUCUAACCCGCAAGGGAGGAAGCGUCCUAAGGUAGGGUCAGCGAUUGGGUGAAGUCGUAACAAGGUAAC